AACAUGAGAGUUCGAUCCUGGCUCAGGAUAAACGCUGGCGGCGUGCUUAACACAUGCAAGUCGAACGAAGUUUUUCUUUCGGGAGGAACUUAGUGGCGGACGGGUGAGUAACGCGUGGGUAACCUGCC
rnacentral:rRNA from 1 species